rnacentral:siRNA from 1 species
UUGAAGAAGGGUCUAUAGCGAC